rnacentral:lncRNA from 1 species
CUGAAAUUCUUUUUUUUUUUUUUUUUUAAGACGGAGUCUCGCUCUGUUGCUCAGGCUGGAGUGCAGUGGCGCGAUCUGGGCUCACUGCAAGCUCCACCUCCCGGGUUCAUGCCAUUCUCCUGCCUCAGCCUCCCAAGUAGCUGGGAUUACAGGUGCCUGCCACCACACCCAGCUAAUUUUUUGGUAUUUUUUAGUAGAGACAGGGUUUCACUAUGUUAGCCAGGAUGGUCUUGAUCUCCUGACCUCAAGAUCUGCCCACCUCAGCCUCCCAAAGUGUUGGGAUUACAGGUGUCAGCCACCACGCCCGGCCUGAAAUUCUUUAUUUCUAACAAGGAAAUCUCAGGGAUUUUAAUGCUGAUGGUCUGAGGGCCACAUUUGGAGGAACAAGCCUCUGGCUUGGUAUAGUACUGGGACUGUUCUAAGGUGUUCCGUACUGCAUAUAAUACCUAAAACUGGCCGGGCGCGGUGGCUCACACCUCUAAUCCCAGCACUUUGGGAGGCCAAGGCGGGCGGAUGACCUGAGGUGAAGAGUUCAAGACCAGCCUGACCAACAUUGUGAAACCUCAUCUCUACUAAAAAUAAUAAUAAUAAAAAAAACAGCUGGACGUGGUGGUGCGCCUGUAGUCCCAGCUAGUUGGGGAGACUGAGGCAGGAGAAGAAUCCCUUGAACCCAGGAGGUGGAGGUUGCAGUGAGCCAAGAUCGUGCUGCUGCACUCCAGCCUGGGCAACAGAGGGAGACUCCAUCUCAAACAACAAAAAAACACCCCUACUGAAAAUAACAGGAAGACGAACAGAAGUGUAUAUUACAUUAUUAUUAUGAACAGUAAUAUAUCUAGCUGUAUGUUUAACACUACAGUGGCAAUUCAUUGUUAGUUUAUUAUUGUGAAAAAACAUGUUCCCUUAUUGCACUCUUAUUUCAGGCUUAGAUUAUAAUUAGCUUCUAGUUAUAUGCUUUUCCUGUUUUGAUGUUUGUGACUAUUACCCAAUUUAGUAAUAAAAAUGUAUCAAACAUGAUUUACUCAUAGAUAUUUAGAAGAAAAAGAUAAAUGUUAUUUGAUUCCAGGGGUAAUUAGAGAAUGAAAUUAGAGGCUGGGCUCAGUGGCUCACACCUGUAAUCCCAGCACUUUGGGAGGCCGAGGCUGGAGGAUCACUGAGGUCAGGAGUUCAAGACCAGCCCUGCCAACGUGGUGAAACCCUGUCUCUACUAAAGAUUAAAAAAUUAGCCGGGCGUGGUAGUGCAUGCCUGUAGUCCCAACUAUUUGGGAGACUGAGGCAAGAGCAUCGCUUGAACCCGGGAGGUGGAGGUUGCCACUGCACUCCAGCCUGGGUAACAGAGCAAGGCUUUGUCUCAAAAAAAAAAAAAGAAAAAAGAAAAUGAAAUUAGAUUAUCUAGGAAUAAUGUGGUGGCAUUUUCUAUGAAUGAAUUUCAAACCAAGAUCUGACCAACUCCAAGCCCACUUUUUUUUUUUUUUUUGAGAUGGAAUCUCACUCUGUUGCUUAGGCUAGAGAGCAGUGGCGCGAUCUCAGCUCACUGCAAGCUCCGCCUCCCAGGUUCACACCAUUCUUCUGCCUCAGCCUCCUGAAUAGCUGGGACUACAGGUGCCUGCCACCACACCUGGCUAAUUUUUUUGUAUUUUUAGUAGAGACGGGGUUUCACCAUGUUAGCCAGGAUAGUCUCAAUUUCCUGACCUCGUGAUCCGCCUGCCUCAGCCUCCCAAAGUGCUGGGAUUACAGGCGUGAGCUACCGCGCCCGGCCCACUUUUUUUUUUCAUUUGUUUGUUUUUGUUUUUUUGAGACUGAGUCUCCUCUGUCAUCCAGGCUGAAGAACAGUGGUGCGAUCUCGGCUCACUGCAACCUCUGCCUCUGGGACUCAAGCGAUUCUCCCGCCUCAGUCUCCCAAGUAGCUGAGAUUACACGUGUGCGCCACCAUGCCUGGCUAAUUUUUUAUAUUUUUAGUAGAGAUGGGGUUUCACCAUGUUGGCCAGGCUGGUCUUGAGCUCCAAACCUCAGGUGAUCUGCCCACCUUGGCCUCCCAAAGUGCUAGGAUUACAGGCGUGAGCCACCACACCUGGCCCCCAGCCCAUGUUUUUAGCCAUUGUGCUGCUAUACAGUGUUCUGCCUGAGUCUGGAGUGACCAAAUACCUGAGUGCUAUUAGAAAUUUUCAGUAAAUCGCAUAAAUUAGGACAGUCUCAGGCUAAGUGUUCAUUCUGCUUUUACUCCAUUUCCAAUCUAUUACCAAUCAUGCACAUUUUGCCACACUGUAAAGCAUAGUUUAUCUUCUCAGCACCUGCAUGAAAAUUUUGGUUGGGCGAAUACAUGUUGGCCCUUUUGGAUAUUAGGAUUGAGAUUUGUCUUACCUGCUAUAAUAUCUAUCUUGAUUUUCCAUUCUGCAGCUUUCUUUUGAACAUGCUGAACAUAAAUAAUAUGUUGUUAUGAGCUGAUUUUUAAAUAAUGAUUUUUUAAAAUUGCUUUUUACUAAUACUUGAGAUUGAGUUUUUAAGCUUAAAAUUUCAUUAGAAUCUAGACCCUUAUAAAAAUUUCAAUUGAAUGGAUAGUAUUCUGAAAAUAAUAAAUCAAUUUCAAUACAUUUAACAAUCUGAACCAAAUCACACAAUAAAUCCAAGUGAUAGAAAGCUACUCAUGCACCACAUAAUGCCAUUUGGGGUUAUCUAGGGACUGCAUAUAUUUUGGUAGUCCCAUAAAAUUAUAAAUGGAGCUGAAAAAUUGCUAUUGCCUAAUGAUGUAGCUAUCUUGACAUCACAGCACAACACAUUACCUUCUUGGUGUUUAUAUAUGUUUAGAUCAAAAGAAUACCAUUGUGUUACAAUUGCCUGUAGUAUUCAAUACAGUAAUAGGUUGACAGGUUUGUAGCCUAGGAACAACAGACUAUAACCACAGAGCCUCGGUGGUCCACUCUAUGUUUGCACAAUGAUGAAAUCACCUCAGAAUGCAUUAGUCAGAACAUAUCCCUGUUGUUAAAGGAUGCAUGACUAUUUCAGAAAUCUAUCAAAGAUGUGUAAUGUUCUCAUAUGGUUUCUGUAGCAUUAUUUCAUUGAUAUAUACAGCUAGCUAGCCUAGAAACCAUUUGGCAGAGAUAUAGGUACAUGGGGAAUUCAGUUCAUGCAGUAAAACUGAGUUUUAUAAAAUUCAUGUUAUGCCAAGACUAUACUUUCAGGGAUCAUUUCUAUAGUUCGUUACUAGAGAAGUUUCUCCGAAAGUGUAGAGCACUGUAUCAUGAAAAUGGCCAUACUACCCAAGGUAAUUUAUAGAUUCAAUGCUAUCACCAUCAAGCGACCACUGACUUUCUUCACAGAAUUGGAAAAAACUACUUUAAAUUUCAUAUGGAACCAAAAGAGCCCACAUAGCCAAGACAAUCCUAAGCAAAAAGAACAAAGCUGGAAGCACCAUGCUACCUGACUUCAAACUAUACUACAAAGCUACAGUAACCAAAAUAGCAUGGUACUGGUACCAAAACA